rnacentral:rRNA from 1 species
CAGCCGCCGCGGUAAUACGUAGGUCCCGAGCGUUGUCCGGAUUUAUUGGGUGUAAAGCGAGCGCAGGCGGUUAGAUAAGUCUGAAGUUAAAGGCUGUGGCUUAACCAUAGUACGCUUUGGAAACUGUUUAACUUGAGUGCAAGAGGGGAGAGUGGAAUUCCAUGUGUAGCGGUGAAAUGCGUAGAUAUAUGGAGAAACACCGGUGGCGAAAGCGGCUCUCUGGCUUGUAACUGACGCUGAGGCUCGAAAGCGUGGGGAGCAAACAGAAUUAGAUACCCGUGUAGUCCCUGUCUCUUAUACA